UUCGCCGAUAGGAAUCCGCCUUUUUAACCGUACCGCGAAAUUGCCGGAUAAGCCGUCCAAUAAUAAUAAUUUUGUGACGACGUUGAUAAGCGAUUUGGCAAAACUAAGCACGCGCGACAGCGGCGCGGCAAAUGCAGUUUGAUAAUUUUACGAAACCGUCACGGGACCGGCCCGGUAGCGUUUUUACAAUAUCCGAGUUCU